rnacentral:siRNA from 1 species
CGGUUAUCCCGCAUGUCAGUGCCA